AUUAACCAGAACAGCGUGGGCAGAUAUUUCCCGGAUCUGAACAGGAAUAGCUGGUGUCUGGACUCUAUGAAGAAUCUUCACGUACAGUGAUAGAACAGUAAACACAUUUGAACCAAGUUCAUCACGGAGAGAGUGAGUGGGUUGGGGAAAAGGUGUUGUAUGUUUGAGGAGUGAGGAGAAGGUGUCAAAUAAUCAUCCAGGCAGGCUUUUGUAGUGCACAGUGGCCAGUGACCAGCAGCAUGUGUUUCCACAGGCAUCUUCUCUCAGGACCCCAGAAGGUGAAUUGCCAGUGAGUCCUGCCAGGGGGCCCCUCAGUGACUGCACCACCCAGUAAAAAGACAUCCCUUAACUAUGGCAAAACAACAACAACAACAACAAAAAACAAAACAAAACAAAAGAAACCCUGCAUCAAUUUGAUAAAUAAUCCUCCCCAUUGA
rnacentral:lncRNA from 1 species